UUACGUGAUGAACAUCCAGAUAGGGACAGCUUAUGCUACGGCAUGUGAUGCGACCUGGUACGAAGAUUGUAGUAGAUGCUUCUGUCGUCUGAAC
rfam:Dothistroma septosporum NZE10 unplaced genomic scaffold DOTSEscaffold_3, whole genome shotgun sequence.